rnacentral:rRNA from 1 species
AACGAGCGCUGGCGGCAUGCCUAACACAUGCAAGUCGAACGAAGGCUUCGGCCUUAGUGGCGCACGGGUGCGUAACGCGUGGGAAUCUGCCCUUUGGUUCGGAAUAACAGCUGGAAACGGCUGCUAAUACCGGAUGAUGACGAAAGUCCAAAGAUUUAUCGCCAGAGGAUGAGCCCGCGUUGGAUUAGGUAGUUGGUGGGGUAAAGGCCUACCAAGCCGACGAUCCAUAGCUGGUCUGAGAGGAUGAUCAGCCACACUGGGACUGAGACACGGCCCAGACUCCUACGGGAGGCAGCAGUGGGGAAUAUUGGACAAUGGGCGCAAGCAUGAUCCAGCAAUGCCGCGUGAGUGAUGAAGGCCCUAGGGUUGUACAGCUCUUUUAUCCGGGAAGAUAAUGACGGUACCGGGAGAAUAAGCCCCGGCUAACUCCGUG